rnacentral:rRNA from 1 species
AAUUUUGGACAAUGGGGGAAACCCUGAUCCAGCCAUCCCGCGUGUAUGAAGAAGGUCUNCGGAUUNUNAAGCACUUUAGGCAGAGNGGAAAGGCAGUACGGUAAUACCAUAAUGUGUUGACGUUACCUGCAGAAUAAGCACCGGCUAACUUCGUGCCAGCAGCCGCGGUAAUACGAAGGGUGCAGGCGUUAAACGGAAUUAAUGGGCGUAAAGCGUGUGUAGGUGGUUCGUUAAGUGAGAUGUGAAAUCCCCGGGCUCAACCUUGGAAUUGCUUUCUUAACUGGCGAGCUAGAGUAUGGCAGAGGGGAGUAGAAUGUCCCGUGUAGCAGUGAAAUGCGUAGAUAUAUGAAGGAAUAUCGGUGGCGAAGGCAGCUACCUGGAAUAAUACUGACGCUCAGGUGCGAAAGCGUGGGGAGCAAACAGG